rnacentral:rRNA from 1 species
GUGAGUAACACGUGAGCAACCUGCCCCAGGCUUUGGGAUAACCCCGGGAAACCGGGGCUAAUACCGAAUAUGACCUUGCACCGCAUGGUGUUUGGUGGAAAGUUUUUCGGCUUGGGAUGGGCUCGCGGCCUAUCAGCUUGUUGGUGGGGUGAUGGCCUACCAAGGCGACGACGGGUAGCCGGCCUGAGAGGGCGACCGGCCACACUGGGACUGAGACACGGCCCAGACUCCUACGGGAGGCAGCAGUGGGGAAUAUUGCACAAUGGGCGGAAGCCUGAUGCAGCGACGCCGCGUGAGGGAUGACGGCCUUCGGGUUGUAAACCUCUUUCAGCAGGGACGAAGCGUAAGUGACGGUACCUGCAGAAGAAGCGCCGGCCAACUACGUGCCAGCAGCCGCGGUAAGACGUAGGGCGCGAGCGUUGUCCGGAUUUAUUGGGCGUAAAGAGCUCGUAGGCGGCUUGUCGCGUCGACCGUGAAAACCUGGGGCUCAACCCCAGGCCUGCGGUCGAUACGGGCAGGCUAGAGUUCGGUAGGGGAGACUGGAAUUCCUGGUGUAGCGGUGAAAUGCGCAGAUAUCAGGAGGAACACCGGUGGCGAAGGCGGGUCUCUGGGCCGAUACUGACGCUGAGGAGCGAAAGCGUGGGGAGCGAACAGGAUUAGAUACCCUGGUAGUCCACGCUGUAAACGUUGGGCGCUAGGUGUG